rnacentral:rRNA from 1 species
AUUGAACGCCGGCGGCAUGCUUUACACAUGCAAGUCGAACGGUAACAGGCCGCAAGGUGCUGACGAGUGGCGAACGGGUGAGUAAUGCAUCGGAACGUGCCCAGUCGUGGGGGAUAACGCAGCGAAAGCUGUGCUAAUACCGCAUACGAUCUAUGGAUGAAAGCGGGGGACCGUAAGGCCUCGCGCGAUUGGAGCGGCCGAUGUCAGAUUAGCUAGGUGGUGGGGUAAAGGCCUACCAAGGCGACGAUCUGUAGCUGGUCUGAGAGGACGACCAGCCACACUGGGACUGAGACACGGCCCAGACUCCUACGGGAGGCAGCAGUGGGGAAUUUUGGACAAUGGGCGCAAGCCUGAUCCAGCAAUGCCGCGUGCAGGAAGAAGGCCUUCGGGUUGUAAACUGCUUUUGUACGGAACGAAACGGUCUGGGUUAAUACCCUGGGCUAAUGACGGUACCGUAAGAAUAAGCACCGGCUAACUACGUGCCAGCCGCCGCCGUAAAAC